rnacentral:misc_RNA from 1 species
GAUGAAGAACGCAGUGAAAGGCGAAACGUAAUGUGAAUCGCAACUAACAGUGAAUCAUCGAAUCUUUGAACGCAGGCCGCGCCUUGCACGUCAUUCGUGAUGUGGCAAGGCAUCUAUGUAUGAGUGUCAGCCCAACAUCCUUUUGGUUUAAUAGUAAUAUUAUUUUAUUAUUAAAUUCAUUAUGCGAGUAUCGAAUUUAUUUUCGUUACACGCGUUUAACAGAAUGUGUCUGGCCUCAUAUAUGGAAGGUUACCCGCUGGAUUUAAGCAUAUCAAUAAGCGGAGGA